rnacentral:sRNA from 1 species
CUACAACCCCAUCCCCGUCCGACAGAACUGCCUCACGGUUAACCGGUCUCUCUUCCUCUUCAGCGAAGACAACGUGGUGAGAAAAUACGCCAAAAAGAUCACCGAAUGGCCUCCCUUUGAAUAUAUGAUUUUAGCCACCAUCAUAGCGAAUUGCAUCGUCCUCGCACUGGAGCAGCAUCUGCCUGAUGAUGACAAGACCCCUAUGUCUGAACGGCUGGAUGACACAGAACCAUACUUCAUUGGAAUUUUUUGUUUCGAGGCUGGAAUUAAAAUCAUUGCCCUUGGGUUUGCCUUCCACAAAGGCUCCUACUUGAGGAAUGGCUGGAACGUCAUGGACUUUGUGGUGGUGCUAACGGGCAUCUUGGCGACAGUUGGGACGGAGUUUGACCUACGGACGCUGAGGGCAGUUCGAGUGCUGCGGCCGCUCAAGCUGGUGUCUGGAAUCCCAAGUGCGUGAGUUUCCGACCCUGACAAGGGGUUUGCUCACAGGCCCCAGGAGCCCUCAGUUUCCCCUAUGCAGAGCAUCUCAGGAGGCCACAUCCUGCCACCAGCCUGUGUGAGGGCAGUCUCUUCUUUGGGACUCCCUAUAGGGGACCCCCUAGGAAUAUGACUGUAGCUCCCCAUGAGCUCCUGAAAGCAAGCUAGGAGCCACACCCAUUUAUUGAGCACCUACUGUCUACUAUCGGGAGCCAUGCUAAGCACCACAUGUGAUCUCAUUCAGUACUCACAGCCCUAUGAAGUCGAUAGGACUGAUGUCUCUAUUUUAUGGAGGGGGAAACUGAGGCUCAGAGUGGCUGAAACAUUGGAGCAGGGUUUUGUGGCUGAGAAGUGGCAGAACUAGGAGUGAGCAAGUGUGACUCCAAGCCUGGGCCGUACCACUGGUGGCAAUGACCAUUCCCAUUUACUGAGUGCCUGUUGCAUACAGGGCACUGCAGAAGGACUUUACAUGAAUUACCUUAUUUCAUCCUCACAGUCACCCAGCGAACACCCAUUUUACAGAUGAGAAGGUUGAGGCUCAAGGAGGUUAAAUUACUCACCUGAAUUCUUAGAGUGGACAGUAACGAGCUCUAAAAUUCAUACUCAUUCCUUGCUGCUUUCUCAUUCUCCACAGAUACAUCUAGUCCCCGUUUAAGGGUGGCUGCCAUAUGCAGGGUCAAAAUUAAGUAUAGGUUGAGCCAAAAAAAAUGUAAAAAGCAAAAAUAAAACAGGGCUGUCUGUCCCUUUUCUAUCUUCUUGUCUUGGUUAAUAAUAAUAAUUUAGCCAGGCAUGGUGGCUCAUGCCUGUAAUUCCAGCACUUUGGGAGGAUCACUUGAGGCCACAAGUUCAAGACCAGCCUGGGCAACAUUGUGAGA